CAGUAGCCGCGGUAACACGGAGGGUGCAAGCGUUAUCCGGAUUCACUGGGUUUAAAGGGUGCGUAGGCGGAUCUGUAAGUCAGUGGUGAAAUCUCCAGGCUUAACCUGGAAACUGCCGUUGAUACUAUAGGUCUUGAAUUUUGUGGAGGUUAGCGGAAUAUGUCAUGUAGCGGUGAAAUGCAUAGAUAUGACAUAGAACACCAAUUGCGAAGGCAGCUGGCUACACAACUAUUGACGCUGAGGCACGAAAGCGUGGGGAUCAAACAGGAUUAGAUACCCGCGUAGUCCCUGUCUCUUAUAC
rnacentral:rRNA from 1 species